UCUGCAACUCGACUGCAUGAAGCUGGAAUCGCUAGUAAUCGCGAAUCAGCAUGUCGCGGUGAAUACGUUCCCGGGUCUUGUACACACCGCCCGUCACACCAUGGAGUCGGAAAUGCCCGAAGCCAGUGACCCAACCUUUAAGGAGGGAGCUGUCGAAGGCAGGUCUGGUAACUGGGGUGAAGUCGUAACAAGGUAUC
rnacentral:rRNA from 1 species